CUUGUAUGGGGAUUGUAAUAUUAACAAGUUUAUGUCACAGUUUGUCAUAUCUUUUCUAGCCUAAAUAAGUUUGCUGUAGGUAAAUCUAGCUGUGGUUAAUGACAAUUAUUUUUUUCUAUGUGUUUUACAGGUUAUGGCAUCUCCAGUCUCUCAACUGAAGAUAGUGAGAGGUGGGAAAGCCGCAGGCUGCUGCAGGACUUUGACAUUGACAGCAACUACACUGAUGAAGUGCAGGUUGGGCCCAAUGCUGAAAAGAACUGCACACCACCAGUUGGACAUUUGCCUAGCAGAUGAGUCAUGUGACCUGACCUUUGAGAGCAGUGCUGACCUUAGGCUUACUGCAGAAAGAGUGUGUAGGACUGCUCAGCUGAAAUGGACUUUAUCUAUGUUGCAUAGUAAAUUUAAAUAUGUAAUGUAAUAAUUAGGGUGUGCCCGAAGCCGAAUACUGUAUUCGGAAUGGCACGAAGAAUGGCUUCAAAAACGAAUAACGGACAAGGAAUAAUUCUGCCUGAAUAUUCGGCUGAGGCUGGCACAGUCUGGUGUUUGCUAGAUAACAGUUGAACCAGUGGAUCAGCGCAAUAUUAUACACAGACCACUAAAGUAACGUAAUAGAGUGUGAAGUAAAUGAAUGUAAACUUUAUGAAUGAAAAGAGCGCAAAUCAAACACCGCAUUGCUGUUGCCUCUCCGUGCCUCUCUCAGAAAUCAGAGCUUGGCAAGAGUAAUAUCACCUAUAAUAAUACAUCAUACAAGUUCUAUUAUUUGUAUAUAUUUAAAAGGCAAUGAUGUAAACCUUAGGCUACGAUCUGAUACGAAUGAAUGGAAUAAGCACAGCACGCUCACCAAUCAAACAGCCCCAUUGCGCAUCUAGGUCUUUCAAAAAACAAACCAGUUCUCUCUCAAGAGUAGGCUAAAAAUCAACUUAGAUACAGAUACAUUUUCUACUUGGCCUACAUGUUUGCAUCUUUAUCUUUUGCUGGUUUGCGUUGCAGGCACACGCACAUAUGUUUAGUGAAGUUCCAAAAAAGACUCGCUUAAAGAGUUCUGCGUAAUGAAAAUGUGCUUGUUCAAAUGAUCACUAAACAUUUGUUAUGACAUCUCUCUGCUUGCAUGAUAAAUAUAUUUUCAGAAAUUAAUAAUUAUUUUAGUUUAACAGCAUGCUUGUUCAGUGAAACUGUAACUAUGAAAAAAAAAUUGUCAUAACGGUCUUAUCAAGUAACUGUACAACAUUCAACCUGGUUUUAUCCGAAUGCAGAUAUGAAUAAUUUAGUGAUUGUUACAGAUACAAAUACAGAUACAAAUACUGUUACAUCAAAAUUUUAAUAUUUAAUUUCAUAAUUAUAAAGUUUUGACAAUUUACAUAUUUAAUUGUUGCAUUAGGCAAUAAAUUUAUAAGCGUUUAUUGAUAAGAUCUACUUAAUGUCCUUUCAUUUACAGUAGCAUGAACCACGAGUAGUCGAGUAACUCGAGCAUUUUUUAAAUAAGAAAUCGACUAGCAGAACUAUAAUUAUAAAGUUUUGUACAAUUUACAUAUUUAAUUGUUGCAUUAGGCAAUAAAUUUAUAAGCGUUUAUUGAUAAGAUCUACUUAAUGUCCUUUCAUUUACAGUAGCAUGAACCACGAGUAGUCGAGUAACUCGAGCAUUUUUUAAAUAAGAAAUCGACUAGCAGAAAUCAGUAGUUGUGCAACCCCUAGUGACAGUAGACUGGAGACCUAUUAUGAUGCCGUUAACAAAAAUAACUUGUUUUGCCUUUGAUAUUAAAACUGUAUUCACCAAGUUUGCAUUAAAUUAAUUAAAAGCAAUAGUAAAUACAUUUAUACAGUGUAAUAUUUAUAUUUUCAGCAUUUAUUAAAACAUUUAUUUGAACUUUCUCUUGAACUUUGUUUUGAACUUUGCUCAUCAAAGAAUCCUGAUCAUGGUUUCCACAAAAAUAUUAAAAGCACAACUGUUUUCAACAUUAAUAAUAAUUAAUAACAAAUCAGCAUAUUAAAAUGAUUUCUCAGCUUUUCCGUAACAAGAAAUAUGUAUUGUAUAAUAUAUUUUUAAAUAAAAAGCACUGAUUAAUUUUUUUAAAUCAAAUAAAUAAUAACAUUUUUUAUAAAUGUUUUAAUUAUCAUAAUAUUUCAUAAUUAUUUAAUAAAUUAUAAUCAUUUUAUUCCUCACAAUAUAAGCUCUCUCUUUCUCUCUGUUUAUUGGGCUUUGCAGGCAGAAUCUCCCUUUCUCAGCAUUCUUUCAUCCUUAGUGUAUGGGUAGUCAUUUAAUUUUUCAUGUGCUCUGCUCUCCCGUGAAUCUUCAGGAGUUCUGCCUGUGCACAAAUCCUCCUCUGCACUUCCUGAAUAUUCACAAAUGCAUCAUAACAAUCAGACAACCCGUCAUUAGCUUGAUUACUGAAGUUAAUGAGCUGUUAAUUAUCUCUUCAUCCAUCAACUCCUAUUGUCUGUCACACGGCAUUUAAUGCUGCUCAAGCGUUAACAGUGACUGACUGGAAGCCAUGAUAAUAGAUUAUGACCUUUGAACCAAUAUCAGUAAUUAACUUUACAUAAAAGUUUACCCACUGGAACUGUAUUUUUUUUUUUUUUUUUGACUAAAUCAUUGAUACAAGUUAAAUAUAGUAUUUUAAUACAAAUAAAUUAUUGAUCUGAACAAUUACAGCUAACCAAUAAAUUCUGAUCUUAUUAUGUUGUGUUGACUUCCUCUAACUGAAGUGUGCUCCUGUUUUUGUAUUUCUAUGUACGCAGUUGGACAUUUGCCUAGCAGAUGAGUCAUGUGACCUGACCUUUGAGAGCAGUGCUGACCUUAGGCUUACUGCAGAAAGAGUGUGUAGGACUGCUCAGCUGAAAUGUGACUACACAUGGAAUAAAAUGCCUGCUCUCACCUUUUUUUCACCUGUCUAUUUUCUCUUUGUUUUCUCUUUGUGGUUGCCAUGCUGAUGUCAGGAGGACCACAAUAUGGUUUUUAUCUUUUUAGUGCUCAGCCGACACAUUUUCUUUCUACAUUUCUGUUGUUAUUCGGCUGAGGCUGGCACAGUCUGGUGUUUGCUAGAUAACAGUUGAACCAGUGGAUCAGCGCAAUAUUAUACACAGACCACUAAAGUAACGUAAUAGAGUGUGAAGUAAAUGAAUGUAAACUUUAUGAAUGAAAAGAGCGCAAAUCAAACACCGCAUUGCUGUUGCCUCUCCGUGCCUCUCUCAGAAAUCAGAGCUUGGCAAGAGUAAUAUCACCUAUAAUAAUACAUCAUACAAGUUCUAUUAUUUGUAUAUAUUUAAAAGGCAAUGAUGUAAACCUUAGGCUACGAUCUGAUACGAAUGAAUGGAAUAAGCACAGCACGCUCACCAAUCAAACAGCCCCAUUGCGCAUCUAGGUCUUUCAAAAAACAAACCAGUUCUCUCUCAAGAGUAGGCUAAAAAUCAACUUAGAUACAGAUACAUUUUCUACUUGGCCUACAUGUUUGCAUCUUUAUCUUUUGCUGGUUUGCGUUGCAGGCACACGCACAUAUGUUUAGUGAAGUGAGAAAGCACUGAAAAUGUGCUUACCAUGCGCUUUACCAAAACGCCAAUAUUGCAGUUAUAAACACAGCUUGUCUCUCUCUUUUGAGAGACUGUCACUAACUCUUUCUCUCUGUUUCUUCAUUUUACUCUUUGCUCCUACAGACAUACACACUAUGAAUGCACCAUAUAGCAUAUUGGAUAUUGACCAUUAUUAGACUUUUUAUUUUUAAUUUACACUACUGUUCAAUAGUUUGGAGUCGGUUUGAAUUUUUCAUGGUUUUGGAAAAAAAGUAUCUUACGCUCAACAGGUGUGCAUUUAUUUGAUCAAAAAUACUAUAAAAGCUGUAAUAUUGUGAAACAUUAUUACAAUUUUAAAAAGCCAUUUUCUAUUUUAAUAUAUUGUAAAAUAUAAUUUAUUCUUGUGUUGGCAAGCUGGAUUUUGUACAAUCAUUAUUCCAGUCUUAAGUGUCACAUGAUCCUUCAGAAAUCAUUCUAAUAUGCUCAAUCUCCAAUAUGAAAAAUUGUGGCCUGUGCUAUUAGUGGGUGCAUUUUAUUCUUGUUUUUAUUUUUUUUGUUGUUAGUAAAAUUGUCGGCUUGUGUCUAGUUAGUGGUGUCUAUUUUAUUUCUUUGUUUUUAUUUUUUUGUUGUUGUCAUAAUUU
rnacentral:lncRNA from 1 species